UCCGCAAUGGACGAGAGUCUGACGGAGCGACGCCGCGUGCGGGAUGAAGGCCCUUGGGUUGUAAACCGCUGUCAGAGGGGAUGAAAUCUUCGGAGGUACUCCUCCGAAGUUGACAGAGCCUCAAAGGAAGCACGGGCUAAGUACGUGCCAGCAGCCGCGGUAACACGUACUGUGCGAACGUUAUUCGGAAUCACUGGGCUUAAAGGGUGCGUAGGCGGCGAUUCAAGUCAGAUGUGAAAUGCCUGAGCUCAACUGGGGCAUUGCGUUUGAAACUGAUUUGCUAGAGUGUCCUAGGGGUGUGCGGAACUGCCAGUGGAACGGUGAAAUGUGUUGAUAUUGGCAGGAACACCGGAGGCGAAGGCGGCACACUGGGGGAUAACUGACGCUGAGGCACGAGAGCAUGGGGAGCAAACAGGAUUAGAUACCCUGGUAGUCCAUGCCGUAAACGUUGUAUACUUGAUGUAGCUGGGCUCAACCCUGGCUGUGUCGAAGCUAACGCGAUAAGUAUACCGCCUGAGGAGUACGCUCGCAAGGGUGAAACUCAAAAGA
rnacentral:rRNA from 1 species